UACGUAGGGGGCAAGCGUUGUCCGGAUUUAUUGGGCGUAAAGAGCGUGUAGGCGGCCAAGUAAGUCUGCUGUGAAAACUCGAGGCUUAACCUCGAGCUGUCGGCGGAAACUAUUUGGCUAGAGUCCGGAAGAGGAGAAUGGAAUUCCCGGUGUAGCGGUGAAAUGCGCAGAUAUCGGGAAGAACACCGAUGGCGAAGGCAGGUCUCUGGGCCACUACUGACGCUGAGAAGCGAAAGCAUGGGGAGCGAACAGG
rnacentral:rRNA from 1 species